rnacentral:rRNA from 1 species
UACGUAGGGACCAAGCGUUGUUCGGAUUUACUGGGCGUAAAGGGCGCGUAGGCGGCGUGGUAAGUCACUUGUGAAAUCUCUGAGCUUAACUCAGAACGGCCAAGUGAUACUGCUGUGCUAGAGUGCAGAAGGGGCAAUCGGAAUUCUUGGUGUAGCGGUGAAAUUCGUAGAUAUCAAGCGGAACACCGGUGGCGAAGGCGGCCUUCUGGACAGUGACUGACGCUGAGACGCGAAAGCGUGGGGAGCAAACAGG